GUAAGGAAUAUUGGACAAUGGACGCAAGUCUGAUCCAGCCAUGCCGCGUGAAGGAUUAAGGUCCUCUGGAUUGUAAACUUCUUUUAUAAGGGACGAAAAAAGGCUUUUCUAAGUCGUCUGACGGUACCUUAUGAAUAAGCACCGGCUAACUCCGUGCCAGCAGCCGCGGUAAUACGGAGGGUGCAAGCGUUAUCCGGUUUCACUGGGUUUAAAGGGUGCGUAGGCGGGCAGGUAAGUCAGUGGUGAAAUCCUAGAGCUUAUCUCUAGAACUGCCAGUGAUACUAUCUGUCUUGAAUAUUGUGGAGGUAAGCGGAAUAUGUCAUGUAGCGGUGAAAUGCUUAGAUAUGACAUAGAACACCUAUUGCGAAGGCAGCUUACUACGCAUAUAUUGACGCUGAGGCACGAAAGCGUGGGGAUCAAACAGGAUUAGAUACCCCUGUAGUCC
rnacentral:rRNA from 1 species